AACAAGGCGUACCUGCGGACCUGCGGAAGGAUCAUUACAAAACGAGUGCUUCGGCUCUCCAACCCAUUGUGAACAUACCUAUCGUUCCCUCGGCGGGCUCAGCGCGCGGUCGGCCUCCGGGCCUCCGGGCGUCCGCCGGGGACAACCAAACCCGAAUUUUUCGUGUAUAUCUGAGGGGCGAAAGCCCGAAAACAAAAUAAAUCAAAACUUUUAACAACGGAUCUCAGAUCGGAAGAGCAC
rnacentral:misc_RNA from 1 species